UGGCCCCAUAGCGAAGUUGGUUAUCGCGCCUCCCUGUCACGGAGGAGAUCACGGGUUCGAGUCCCGUUGGGGUCGCCAU
rnacentral:tRNA from 1 species